rnacentral:rRNA from 1 species
AACGAACGCUGGCGGCAUGCCUAACACAUGCGAGUCGAACGAGACCUUCGGGUCUAGUGGCGCACGGGUGCGUAACGCGUGGGAACCUGCCCUUAGGUUCGGAAUAACUCCCCGAAAGGGGUGCUAAUACCGGAUAAUGUCUUCGGACCAAAGAUUUAUCGCCUUUGGAUGGGCCCGCGUUGGAUUAGCUAGUUGGUAGGGUAAAAGCCUACCAAGGCGACGAUCCAUAGCUGGUCUGAGAGGAUGAUCAGCCACACUGGGACUGAGACACAGCCCAGACUCCUACGGGAGGCAGCAGUGGGGAAUAUUGGACAAUGGGCGAAAGCCUGAUCCAGCAAUGCCGCGUGAGUGAUGAAGGCCUUAGGGUUGUAAAGCUCUUUUACCCGGGAUGAUAAUGACAGUACCGGGAGAAUAAGCUCCGGCUAACUCCGUG